rnacentral:rRNA from 1 species
AUACGGAGGGUGCGAGCGUUGUCCGGAAUCACUGGGCGUAAAGCGCGCGUAGGCGGCGUGGUAAGUCAGGUGAGAAAUCCCGGGGCUCAACUCCGGGCCUGCAUCCGAUACUGCCAAGCUAGAGCACGGUAGGGGCGAGUGGAAUCCCCGGUGUAGCGGUGGAAUGCGUAGAUAUCGGGAAGAACACCGGUGGCGAAGGCGGCUCGCUGGGCCGGUGCUGACGCUGAGGCGCGAAAGCGUGGGGAGCAAACAGGAUUAGAAACCCCCGGUAGUCC